rnacentral:rRNA from 1 species
GAUGAACGCUGGCGGCGUGCUUAACACAUGCAAGUCGAACGGUGAAGCCAAGCUUGCUUGGUGGAUCAGUGGCGAACGGGUGAGUAACACGUGAGCAACCUGCCCUGGACUCUGGGAUAAGCGCUGGAAACGGCGUCUAAUACUGGAUAUGAGACGUGAUCGCAUGGUCAACGUUUGGAAAGAUUUCUCGGUCUGGGAUGGGCUCGCGGCCUAUCAGCUUGUUGGUGAGGUAAUGGCUCACCAAGGCGUCGACGGGUAGCCGGCCUGAGAGGGUGACCGGCCACACUGGGACUGAGACACGGCCCAGACUCCUACGGGAGGCAGCAGUGGGGAAUAUUGCACAAUGGGCGGAAGCCUGAUGCAGCAACGCCGCGUGAGGGAUGACGGCCUUCGGGUUGUAAACCUCUUUUAGCAGGGAAGAAGCGAAAGUGACGGUACCUGCAGAAAAAGCGCCGGCUAACUACGUGCCAGCAGCCGCAGUAA